ensembl:lncRNA
GCAACAGGCACUUAUGUGACGUCGGAAAGCGGAGGAGCAGAAGCUGUUCUCCCAGGGCAGUGACAGAUAGAUGUGUGAGCCGACAGGAGACAUGAGCUUCACAGUGCUUCUGGAUGAGUUCCAGCAGGUUACCUUCUUUGGUCCUCUAGACAAUUGAGAUGGCUAGUGGUGGCUGCUUGAAAUUAUUUGUUUGGUGCUGCGAGCUUAUACAGCUGAGGUUUUUGGAUUUUGGAAUUGCAGAUAAUGGACGGUGGGCUUGAAAAAUAGUGUCACAUAUUCUAGGAUGAAGGGAGCUGUGAGAGGGGUGGAGGAAGAGAUUAUUGCCUGAUGAUGAACUUUGAGAGACUGCUUUUGAGUUUUCUUACUUUAUUGCUGUGUUACAAACUGUCAGAUACUACUCGUUGUGUUACAAAGUUAACAAUGAAAAUGUUAUUGUCUGGUCUAUUCAAUUCACCUACUAAUAGAAUAAAAAUUAUUGCAGA